UUAUUUGCUGAGGUGGGGCCCACACAUCGAGAUUUUUUUGGGACAUCUGAAAAGUCAUAUGAAUCACAUAUGUGAAGUUAAACACAACUCAAGAAGGACCCUUGGGCCAAAUCAAAGUGGAAGUCCUCCAAACGAAUAUUUUUAAGAAAACGUUUUCGGGUGAUCUGACUUCUAGGGGCAAAAACGGUAUUAUAAGUUUGGAAUUUGGAAAAUACCAAGAAAUAGAAGUUGUAGAUAAUUGAAUUAUCUUUCCAACCAUAGGUCGUGGGUUCCCAGGUGACAUCGGUACAAGGAGAUAUGGACGUUUUAAGGUCGAAAGGUCAGUGGGCUAGGCCCAACUCGGGAUCAACCGAGUUGGCCCAAAAAAAUAAAAAAACGAAUUAAGGCCCAAAGGAGAGGGGUGGCCGGCCAUCUUAUGGCCCAAGCCCACAAAAUUAAUAAAUUUCCCAUGUGAUAAUUAAUAUAAAGGAUCAUUAAAUUGUCUUGAAACAUUUAGAAGUUUCAAGACAAUUGAGAAAGAGAGAAAGAGAGAAACAAGAGAAAGAAGAGCAAGAAUAAGAAGGCCAUUUUCGGCCAAGCUCUAGACCAAAAAAAAAAAAAAAAAAAUUUUUUUCAAAAAUCAUUUUCUACCAAUUAAAGGGUCCUUUACAACUUGGUGUAAUUAUUUUGGAAGAAAGAACACUUGUUUCUUCAAGUUGACAACUUGGUCAAGUGAAGAAGAUUGUAGAAAAAGAUUUUGGCGAACUUGAAACUUGAUUUUGGAGACGUGUAUGAAUCGGAAAAGGUCAACAGGUAGACAGAUUUGACUCUUAGAAGCUCCAUCAGCAGUACUGUGGCAGCGCUCCAGUUGUUCCGGAGCCUCAGUUUCUUGGUACUACUUUUGUGUACAUAUUCGGGCACGGUAGAACCGGUCCUUCUUGUAUAUGUAGAUGUACUUUGUUUAGAGGCUCGUAGACAGAUAUGUACAGUCAGAUGUUUUGUACUUUUGUGGUCCUCGUCGUUGUAUAAUGUGCUAGCAAAGUUUAUAAGUCCAUGUCUACAAUUAUGCCAUUAAUGUUAGCGUUAAGCAACAGAAAAAAAAAAAAGAUACGGUAUAGUCUAUACGGCCCACCUAGUAGUAAAAGUACGAUACGAGAUAAGGGGUGCUCGGUACAAGUAUCGGGUACCCGUCGCGGCCCCUAGUUGGGUCGUGACACUUUUGUAUUUAAAAAAAGAAAUAUUUGUGUAACCUUGAGAAUUGAGC